rnacentral:misc_RNA from 1 species
UUUGUACAAAUUUCUAACUUUCUUACCUAUUUUGGAAGUGAAUGGUUAAGAGCUCGUUAAUGAGAGAACUCUUCUAUCUCUGAGUUUUAAGGAAACUCAACCUUGCUCAAAAAUAUCACUCGUUCUUUCCUUUCAUGAUAACAAUAAAUAAUAUAUUGAAUUCCCAAGACAAAGGUGGUACCUACCCACAUUUUAAACAACCAAGAACUAAGAAAACUGCCCGCAAUUUAAGCAACACAGAAAAAUAAGGAAACUAUCCAUACCACAAG